CUUCUGUGGGCUGGGCCCACAUAAGGAGAGUCAAAUCACUUGGGUGCUGGGAAGAGGCACAUGUCACACGUGCAAGAAGGUCCAAGGAUGAGAUUAAAAAUUCCACAAAGGUCCAAAUUCUAGGGCCCAGACAGAAGAGAAGAGUCACAUCAUCUAGAUGAUGAAUGAAAAGAUAUGUCAUUAUUCUCCUUUGGGCAGUGCUUCUGCAGAAAAGUUGCACCUUCUAGGUGUUGGACUCAGCAAUAUAUCACAAUGUCUGCAGUAUUUUGGAAGGAGAGGAGAGUCACCAUUACUUAGGUAUGGCCCAGGCAGGAGAGAAGGGUCAUAUCACCUAAGCUCUGGAUUCGCAGAUAGGCCCCAAUCUCUUUUUUGGGCAAUGCUCGGGUAAGAGAGCAG
rnacentral:lncRNA from 10 species